rnacentral:misc_RNA from 1 species
AUGAAAUGCAAGGGCGCUCUUCUUAGAGGUCCAACCCAUAUCAUUUUCACCCUGUGCACACACUAUUUUACACCUUUUUAAACACAAAGUAACAGAAUGUAAUCAGUCUCUUAAUUGAGCAUAAAAGUUAAUA